CCUUUUGUAUAAUGGGUCAGCGACUUAUAUUCUGUAGCAAGGUUAACCGAAUAGGGGAGCCGAAGGGAAACCGAGUCUUAACUGGGCGUUAAGUUGCAGGGUAUAGACCCGAAACCCGGUGAUCUAGCCAUGGGCAGGUUGAAGGUUGGGUAACACUAACUGGAGGACCGAACCGACUAAUGUUGAAAAAUUAGCGGAUGACUUGUGGCUGGGGGUGAAAGGCCAAUCAAACCGGGAGAUAGCUGGUUCUCCCCGAAAGCUAUUUAGGUAGCGCCUCGUGAAUUCAUCUCCGGGGGUAGAGCACUGUUUCGGCAAGGGGGUCAUCCCGACUUACCAACCCGAUGCAAACUGCGAAUACCGGAGAAUGUUAUCACGGGAGACACACGGCGGGUGCUAACGUCCGUCGUGAAGAGGGAAACAACCCAGACCGCCAGCUAAGGUCCCAAAGUCAUGGUUAAGUGGGAAACGAUGUGGGAAGGCCCAGACAGCCAGGAUGUUGGCUUAGAAGCAGCCAUCAUUUAAAGAAAGCGUAAUAGCUCACUGGUCGAGUCGGCCUGCGCGGAAGAUGUAACGGGGCUAAACCAUGCACCGAAGCUGCGGCAGCGACGCUUAUGCGUUGUUGGGUAGGGGAGCGUUCUGUAAGCCUG
rnacentral:rRNA from 1 species